rnacentral:rRNA from 1 species
CAGUCGCCGCGGUAAUACGUAGGGUGCAAGCGUUAAUCGGAAUUACUGGGCGUAAAGCGUGCGUAGGCGGUUUGUUAAGUCUGUUGUGAAAUCCCCGGGCUCAACCUGGGAAUGGCAGUGGAUACUGGCUCGCUAGAGUGUGUCAGAGGAUGGUGGAAUUCCCGGUGUAGCGGUGAAAUACGUAGAGAUCGGGAGGAACACCGGUGGCGAAAGCGGCUCUCUGGCUUGUAACUGACGCUGAGGCUCGAAAGCGUGGGGAGCAAACAGGAUUAGAUACCCCAGUAGUCCCUGUCUCUUAUAC